rnacentral:rRNA from 1 species
UGCGCCUUGCCAGCCCGCUCAGAAACUUAAAUGAAUUGGACGGGGGCCCGCACAAGCGGUGGAGCAUGUGGUUUAAUUCGAUGAUACGCGAGGAACCUUACCUGGGCUCAAAUGUAUGUUGACGUAUUCUGAAAGGGAUACUUCUUCGGACAAUAUACAAGGUGCUGCAUGGUUGUCGUCAGCUCGUGCCGUGAGGUGUCGGGUUAAGUCCCAUAACGAGCGCAACCCCUAUCAUUAGUUGCCAUCAGGUCAAGCUGGGGACUCUAAUGAAACUGCCUACGCAAGUAGUGAGGAAGGUGGGGAUGACGUCAAAUCAGCACGGCCCUUACGUCCAGGGCUACACACGUGUUACAAUGGCCAGUACAGAGGGCAGCCACCCCGCGAGGGGGCGCUAAUCCUAAAAGCUGGUCCCAGUUCGGAUCGGAGUCUGCAACCCGACUCCGUGAAGCUGGAUUCGCUAGUAAUCGCGCAUCAGCCACGGCGCGGUGAAUACGUUCCCGGGCCUU